GCGCCCGUAGCUCAGCUGGAUAGAGCACCAGGCUUCGAACCUGGGUGUCGGGAGUUCGAAUCUCUCCGGGCGCGCCA
rnacentral:tRNA from 8 species